GGGCGCCCAUAGUCCCAGCUACUCCGGAGGCUGAGGCAGGAGAAUGCUGUGAACCCGGGAGGGGGAGCUUGCAGUGAGCCGCCAUCCAGAAGUGCUGGGAUUACAGGUGUGAGCCACCGCGCCCGGCCUGAAAAGUGCAUCUUCAUUUUACAGGGAAUUCUUUCAAAUCAAAUAAUCAAAAACUGUAAAAGGGGGCAAAGUACUUUUUUGCAGAUCUACAAGUUUCUUAUGUAAAUAGGAAAAAAAGCCUUUGCUUUUCUGGUAUAAGAAUUUAAAUUAAAAGAGGAAUGAAACUGUUUUCUAUCCACAAUGUGUGAGGAUGUUUUUUAUACUGCUGCCUGAAGUUUAAGUUGCUGAUUACUUUUUAAAUAGAUAAUUUGGUGGUAAGUACUAUAUUUUAAAAAUGCGUAUGCCCGUUACCCUUCAAUUCCAUUAUACUAAAAUACCCUUGGGAAAUAGAGAUACAUGCACUUUGUUUUUCACAGCACUUAUUUUAAAAAGAACCCAUAGAAUGGAUCUUAUAAGUAAAUUUCAGUUGCAUCCAUAGGAUGCAAUAAUAUGUGACCAUCAAAGGUGACAAUAGAUAUAGAAGUACGUUGAUGUGCGAAGAUGUAUUUUGUUUUAGCCAGCGAGGAAAAAAGAAUCAGUUUGAUUAUACAUUUACCAAACAUUAAGAAUUUAAUAUGGUAACUUUUAUUUCAGUAUUAAAAUAGCAAUUUUAUUUAUUACUUUUUUAUAUACAGAAUUCGACACCAAAUUUUGGAACUUAAAAAGAAGAUUCUUAAAACUUACAAUCCAGAUUACGAUGAGGACCUGGUGCAGGAAGCUUCAUCUGAAGAUGUCCUGGGCGUUCAUAUGGUGGACAAAGACACAGAGAGAGACAUUGAGAUGAAACGGCAACUACGGCGACUACGGGAGCUCCACCUAUACAGCACAUGGAAGAAGUACCAAGAGGCGAUGAAGACAUCCUUGGGAGUUCCACAAUGUGAGCGUGACGAAGGCUCCUUGGGCAAGCCAUUGUGUCCACCCGAGAUACUCUCGGAGACGUUGCCAGGCUCUGUGAAGAAAAGGGUAUGCUUUCCAUCAGAAGAUCAUCUAGAGGAGUUUAUAGCAGAACAUCUCCCUGAAGCAUCCAAUCAGAGUCUCCUCACUGUUGCCCAUGCAGACACAGGCAUCCAAACCAACGGUGACCUGGAAGACCUGGAGGAGCAUGGGCCAGGGCAGACAGUCUCUGAGGAAGCCACAGAAGUUCACAUGAUGGAGGGGGACCCAGACACACUGGCCGAACUUCUGAUCAGGGAUGUACUUCAGGAGCUGUCCAGUUACAACGGCGAGGAGGAGGACCCAGAGGAGGUGAAGACAUCCUUGGGAGUUCCACAACGUGGUGACCUGGAAGACCUGGAGGAGCAUGUGCCAGGGCAGACAGUCUCUGAGGAAGCCACAGGGGUUCACAUGAUGCAGGUGGACCCAGCCACGCCGGCAAAGAGUGACCUGGAAGACCUGGAGGAGCAUGUGCCAGGGCAGACAGUCUCUGAGGAAGCCACAGGGGUUCACAUGAUGCAGGUGGACCCAGCCACACUGGCAAAGCGUACGUAUUCUGGGAUCAUCUCUUUGUUUAGGUGUGAAAUCUUAGUGUUGUAAAGGUAGUGCUGCUUCACCUGCUUUUGCUCAAGGGCCACUCUGGUUUGAGCUUUCUGCCAGAAAUGAGAUUUGGGAAUUUUGGUUUAAAAACUACUAAGAGUCACACCGGGCACAGUGGCUCACGCCUGUAAUCCCAGCACCUUGAGAGGCGGAGACGGGCGGAUCAGCAGAGGUCAGGAGUUUGAGACCAGCCUGACUGACAUUGAGAAACCCCACCGCUCCUAAAAAUA
rnacentral:lncRNA from 1 species